rnacentral:lncRNA from 1 species
AUGGACAACAUGCACAGCUUCUGGCAGUUAGGUGAUGAGCUUCGCGGACACUCAAAAGCCUCUGAGGAUCACAAGUGGUUGAUGGUUGCUUCUAAGUUAGCUGAACAGAGAUCAAAGGCUGAGCGCUUCAACAACCUUGAUCUUUCAAAGGGUCCUCUCGAAACAAGGCCAAGGGAUAAAUUUGGGUUCCAGGAGGAGAACAAAUUCGACACUCUUAACUUGAGCAUGUUAAACCUGGACUCUAAAUUUACCGAGAAUAUGAGCAAAAGCUCGCUUCGGAACGG